UCAGAUGUGAGAUCAGGACGGGGUGCUGGUCGGGCACCCUUCCUGCCUCUUCCUAGCCUCACGAUUCCUGCCUAUCCUCCACCCACCCAGAGGCACAGCCAGCUCUUUCUCAUGAGGGAGUAUUAGCUUUGUAUGUGAUGCAACUUCUAUAAAGGCAGAGGCUCUUCUUUUUAUUUUUUAUGUUCUUAGGUACUCUAGGAAGAGAGAAGCAUUUUUAUGAUUCCAGUAACCAAACAACAUAAUGAAAAUCAUGGUAACCAUCAGCCUAAUAAAAGCCAUGGCAAAAGCCUCCACAUUCUCAAACAAGACCCUGGGAAUUCAAAGCUCUGAAGCCAUAAGUGGCCAGGGCCUUGCUAAAGGCCUUGGGACGCCGGCUGAUGGCUGAUGAAAGGAUUUUAACGCGCCACUGAAAUUCUCUUUUCCAAAAUAACCACUUUGAAACCUGUUAAUUACAGACACACAACCAGCCCCAGUCCCCCAAUAGGACCUGGGGCUGCACCAGGGAGAGCCCAGCUCCAUGGCUGCCUGCUUCCAUGGUGCUACACAUGCUUUGUGUUGGGUGAAUUAGCUUCAGGAAGAGAAUCCAAAUUAAUUAAAACCACAUGGCCACUCCCCUCACCCCCAGCCUCCUACCCCACCUCCCUCCCCUGGAGACAGAGGCCAGUUCAGUCUAAUUUGGUCCAGUGUUUUUGUUUCCUAAAAUCUGUCUUGGGCUCUGGGCCAUUAAUAGGUUGCAGCUGAUUUUAAUCUACAUGAAUCAGAGACCUGGCUUCUUGGGCUUUAAGGAGAUUACAAAUUGUGUGUCCCACAAACGGGAUGGAAGGGAAAGGCCCUAGGUGGGGAGGGGUAGGGAAGCAGAUCCUGAAAGGUGAAGACACUUCUACCCAAGGAAGGAUGUUACCCCGGGCCGCAGUGGCUGUAACCUGGAAUAUCCCCUCCCCCUCCUCCCUUCCCCCUCAUCUUCUUGGUUAUACUGGGCCUCGAACAGAAUCACAGCUCAACAGACUGCCACAUUAACUUGCACAGAAGGUCAACUCUCUGUAAAGACCUCCAGCAGACAGGAUCUGAGAAUUCCUGUAAAGAAUAAUGAUCUGUACUCCACAUCUCCAUCUCCACUGCUGUCCCCAGGUCCCUCUUUCUUGGCAAGCUCCUCCUCGAACUUUAGGUAGUGCCUCAGAGGAUUGUAGAAUUCACUAAGGAGUCACGGGUCACAAUCUUUAGAGUCCUGCUGUUGUUCAGAGGUCUCCCAGUUCACUGAAUGCUAAGUGAGUACUAACUCGCUUCAGUUGUGUCCAACUCUUUGCGCCCCUAUA